GACCGCGUAGUUCAGUUGGCAGAGCAUUGGACUAGUAUCCCAAAGGUCGCGGGUUCGAUUCACACCGUGGCCA
rnacentral:tRNA from 1 species